rnacentral:tRNA from 1 species
GGCAAGAUGACUGAAAUAGUAAAGGAUUGUAAACCCUCAAACGUAGGAUAAUAGCCUACUCUUCGCCA